GACGAACGCUGGCGGCGCGCCUAACACAUGCAAGUCGAACGAGCGAGAGAGAGCUUGCUUUCUUGAGCGAGUGGCGAACGGGUGAGUAACGCGUGAGGAACCUGCCUCAAAGAGGGGGACAACAGUUGGAAACGACUGCUAAUACCGCAUAAGCCCACGGUGCCGCCAGGCACAGAGGGAAAAGGAGCAAUCCGCUUUGAGAUGGCCUCGCGUCCGAUUAGCUAGUUGGUGAGGUAACGGCCCACCAAGGCGACGAUCGGUAGCCGGACUGAGAGGUUGAACGGCCACAUUGGGACUGAGACACGGCCCAGACUCCUACGGGAGGCAGCAGUGGGGAAUAUUGCACAAUGGGGGAAACCCUGAUGCAGCGACGCCGCGUGGAGGAAGAAGGUCUUCGGAUUGUAAACUCCUGUUGUUGGGGAAGAUAAUGACGGUACCCAACAAGGAAGUGACGGCUAACUACGUG
rnacentral:rRNA from 1 species